rnacentral:rRNA from 1 species
CUACGGGUGGCACCAGUCAAGAAUCUUCCGCAAUGGGCGAAAGCCUGACGGAGCGACGCCGCGUGCAGGAUGACGGCCUUCGGGUUGUAAACUGCUUUUCUAAGGGAAGAAUUAGUGACGGUACCUUAGGAAUAAGAGGUUGCUAACUCUGUGCCAGCAGCAGCGGUAAGACAGGAGACCUCAAGUGUUAUCCGGAUUCAUUGGGCGUAAAGCGUCCGCAGGUGGUUUGAUGGGUCAGGAGUUAAAGGCCUGUGCUCAACACAGGUAAAGCUUUUGAAACUAUCAAACUAGAGGAUGGUAGAGGCAAGCGGAAUUGCAGGUGUAGUCGUAAUAAGCGUUGAUAUCUGCAAGAACACCAAAGGCGAAGGCAGCUUGCUGGAACAUUCCUGACACUCAUGGACGAAAGCGUGGGUAGCGAAAGGGAUUAGAUACCCCAGUAGUC